UGGUGGAGCGAUUUGUCUGGUUAAUUCCGAUAACGAACGAGACUCUGGCUAUUAAAUAGUUCGCCGAUUCCGAUCUGUCGGCGUUAACUUCUUAGAGGGACAAGUGGCUUUUAGCCACGCGAGAUUGAGCAAUAACA
rnacentral:rRNA from 1 species